AUUGAACGCUGGCGGCAUGCCUUACACAUGCAAGUCGAACGGCAGCGGACCUUCGGGUGCCGGCGAGUGGCGAACGGGUGAGUAAAGUAUCGGAACGUACCUUUCAGUGGGGGAUAACGUAGCGAAAGUUACGCUAAUACCGCAUAUUCUGUGAGCAGGAAGGCAGGGGAUCGCAAGACCUUGCGCUGAUUGAGCGGCCGAUAUCAGAUUAGCUAGUUGGUGAGGUAAAGGCUCACCAAGGCGACGAUCUGUAGCGGGUCUGGGAGGAUGAUCCGCCACACUGGAACUGAGACACGGUCCAGACUCCUACGGGAGGCAGCAGUGGGGAAUUUUGGACAAUGGGGGCAACCCUGAUCCAGCCAUGCCGCGUGAGUGAAGAAGGCCUUCGGGUUGUAAAGCUCUUUCGGCCGGGAAGAAAUCGCGCCAGUUAAUACCUGGUGUGGAUGACGGUACCGGAAUAAGAAGCACCGGCUAACUACGUGCCAGCCGCCGCAGUAACAC
rnacentral:rRNA from 1 species